UCCUACGGGAGGCAGCAGUAGGGAAUCUUCCGCAAUGGGCGAAAGCCUGACGGAGCAACGCCGCGUGAGUGAUGAAGGUCUUCGGAUCGUAAAACUCUGUUAUUAGGGAAGAACAAAUGUGUAAGUAACUGUGCACGUCUUGACGGUACCUAAUCAGAAAGUCACGGCUAACUACGUGCCAGCAGCCGCGG
rnacentral:rRNA from 1 species